CGCGAGGCUUGGGGGCGGGGCUCAAGCUCCCUGCUCGAGGUUGAGCGGCCCCGACCUAAAAAGUGCUGGAGCUGACAAAUUUCUGGGAAUCAAACUCACAACCUCACAGGCAGGCGUGGUACACGGAGCUAUAUCCCCAGCCCCAACCAGUGCUUUUCAAAUUUGAGUUCACUUCAUGUGAGACUCACCAAAAAGAGUGCUUCAGAGAGGCUGGUGGGCUCUCCCCCCAGAGCGUUUACUCAGAUCUCUAUUUUGCUGCCCGGUGGCACGGAGUGACUGGAAUAUCCCUGCAGGCGCCAUCUCUUCUCCAGACCUGUGCACACACUCACACCCUCUGCUGCACUUUCCUGACUCAUCACUGCAGCGGCCCUUUCCUCGCCUCAGGCUUUUCAUUUUUUAAAGUGCUGGGGAUCCUGUCCAGGGUUGCCCACACACCAGGCAAGUGCUCUACCCCCGAGCUGCACCCCCAGCCCUCCUUUGGGCUUUAUCUGACACACAACAGGCAUGCAUCUCAUCCUUUGACCGCUGCAGGCCGUGAGUGG